rnacentral:rRNA from 1 species
GCAGCAGGCGCGAAACCUUUACACUGCACGCCAGUGCGAUAAGGGGAUCCCAAGUGCGUAGGCAUAGAGCCUACGCUUUUGUCCACCCUAGGGUGGUGGACGAAUAAGGGCUGGGCAAGACCGGUGCCAGCCGUCGCGGUAAUACCGGCAGCCCGAGUGAUGGCUGAUCUUAUUGGGCCUAAAGCGUCCGUAGCUGGCCGCACAAGUCCAUCGGGAAAUCCACCUGCUCAACAGGUGGGCGUCCGGUGGAAACUGUGUGGCUUGGGACCGGAAGGCGCGACGGGUACGUCCGGGGUAGGAGUGAAAUCCCGUAAUCCUGGACGGACCGCCGAUGGCGAAAGCACGUCGCGAGAACGGAUCCGACAGUGAGGGACGAAAGCUAGGGUCUCGAACCGGAUUAGAUACCCGGGUAGUCCUAGCCGUAAACACUGCCUGCUAGGUGUGGCACCACUACGAGUGGGUGCUGUGCCGUAGGGAAGCCGCUAAGCAGGCCGCCUGGGAAGUACGUCCGCAAGGAUGAAACUUAAAGGAAUUGGCGGGGGAGCACUACAACCGGAGGAGCCUGCGGUUUAAUUGGAGUCAACGCCGG